rnacentral:rRNA from 1 species
GUAGGGGGCAAGCGUUGUCCGGAUUUAUUGGGCGUAAAGAGCGUGUAGGCGGCUUGGUAGGUCUCGCGUCAAAACCUGCGGCUCAACCGCAGUUCGCGUGGGAAACCACCUAGCUAGAGUCCGGAAGAGGAGAACGGAAUUCCCAGUGUAGCGGUGAAAUGCGCAGAUAUUGGGAAGAACACCAGUGGCGAAGGCGGUUCUCUGGGACGGUACUGACGCUGAGACGCGAAAGCGUGGGGAGCGAACAGGAUUAGAUACCCUGGUAGUCCACGCCGUAAACGAUGGGCGCUAGGUGUGGGAGGUGUCGACUCCUUCCGUGCCGAAGCUAACGCAUUAAGCGCCCCGCCUGGGGAGUACGGCCGCAAGGCUA